rnacentral:rRNA from 1 species
CGCCCAAAGGUUCCCUCAGCCUGGUUGGCAAUCAGGUGUUGAGUGUAAGUGCACAAGGGAGCUUGACUGUGAGACCGACGGGUCGAGCAGGGACGAAAGUCGGGACUAGUGAUCCGGCAGUGGCUUGUGGAAGCGCUGUCGCUCAACGGAUAAAAGGUACCCCGGGGAUAACAGGCUGAUCUUCCCCAAGAGUCCAUAUCGACGGGAUGGUUUGGCACCUCGAUGUCGGCUCGUCGCAUCCUGGGGCUGGAGUCGGUCCCAAGGGUUGGGCUGUUCGCCCAUUAAAGCGGUACGCGAGCUGGGUUUAGAACGUCGUGAGACAGUUCGGUCCCUAUCCGCUGUGCGCGUAGGAAUAUUGAGAAGGGCUGUCCCUAGUACGAGAGGACCGGGACGGACGAACCUCUGGUGUGCCAGUUGUCCUGCCAAGGGCAUGGCUGGUUGGCUACGUUCGGAAAGGAUAACCGCUGAAAGCAUCUAAGCGGGAAGCCUGCUUCGAGAUGAGUAUUCCCACCCUCUUGAAGGGUUAAGGCUCCCAGUAGACGACUGGGUUGAUAGGCCAGAUGUGGAAGCCCUGUAAGGGGUGGAGCUGACUGGUACUAAUAGGCCGAGGGCUUGUCCUCAGUUG